rnacentral:rRNA from 1 species
UACGGGGGGGGCAAGCGUUGUUCGGAAUUACUGGGCGUAAAGGGUGCGUAGGCGGUGCUCUAAGUCGGAUGUGAAAACUCUGGGCUCAACCCAGAGCCUGCAUCCGAAACUGGAGUGCUAGAGUUCUGGAGGGGGUAGCGGAAUUCCUGGUGUAGCGGUGAAAUGCGUAGAUAUCAGGAGGAACACCGGUGGCGAAGGCGGCUACCUGGACAGAAACUGACGCUGAGGCACGAAAGCCAGGGGAGCAAACGGG